rnacentral:lncRNA from 1 species
UAAAAAUUGAAAACUUUCCAAAAAUAGCAGUUUUUAAGAAAAUUAUUUAUAAAUACUAUAUACAGAUGAAAAAUUGUGAAAGCAUACUCAUCUAUCCUAAAAUAUUCUUGUUAUCCUAAUUUCUAAUUCACAAACCCAAAUCUACAGUAUUUCUCAAAAAAUUGUAAACUUUCCAAAAAUAGCAGUUUUUAAGAAAAUUAUUUAUAAAUACUAUAUACAGAUGAAAAAUUCUGAAACAAUACUAGAUU